rnacentral:lncRNA from 10 species
GGGGAUAGGAGGACCUUAACAUAUCUUUUUGGGAGGACACAGCUCAGCUCAUAACACCUUUCAUCCUUAUGCCAGUCAUUCAUUUCACUCAUCCAACAACACUUACUAUAUACCAGGCACCAUUCCUGCCCUAAUGGAAUUUCCAGUCUAAUAGGUAGGGGAUCAGACAUUAGACAGAUAAUAAUACAGAUGAACAUAAUAUGAAAAAAAUUUUUUUUCCGAAAAGAGGUUUUUUUGUUUUGUUUUGUUUUGUUUUUUGAGACGGAGUUUUGCUCUUGUUGCCCAGGCUGGAGUGCAACAGCGUGAUCUUGGCUCACUGCAGCCUCCACCUCCCGGGUUCAAGCAAUUCUCUUGCCUCAGUCUCCCGAGUAGCUGGGAAUACAGGUGCCCACCACCAUACCCCACUAAUUUUUUGUACUUUUGGUAGAGAUGGGGUUUCGCCAUGUUGGCCAGGCUGGUCUGGAACUCCUGGCCUCAGGUGAUCCACCCACCUCAGCCUCCCAAAGUGCUGGGAUUACAGGCAUGAGCCACCACCCGGUCUGAAAAGAAUUUUAAGGGGAAAGUGAAGCAUAGGAUAAGGGACUACAAUGGGUGAGCUGGUUAAGAUUUUUGUUUAAACUUUAAUGUAUUCACAUAUUGCAUUUUGUGACAUAUUGCAUCACAAACCUUACUGAAAUGUAUAUUGUGCCUUGAGGUGUUAAGGGAUAAGCAACAACCUAACGCAGUGAGAUUUAAACUGAGAUUUUAGGGGUAAGCAGGAGUUUAACAAUGGCGGGUGAGAUAGGGACAGGAAAGAGCAGGGAGGAAAAGUGAUUGGGGCAUCUUUGAAACACCCAGACAGGAAGGAACAUAGAGAGUUUGAGGAAUGGAAGGAGGGCAGUGGGGCAGUGGGGCUGGGUGGUGGUGAGCAGGUGGUGGGAUGAGAGAAAGGCCAGGGAGGCAGUGGGGCCAGUGAGAGGCUCUGGAGACCACAGAGGUAGCUUGGAUAUUCUACUGAGAAUGUUAGGAAGCCAGGGGAAGGUUUUGAGGACGGGAGGGACUUGAUAUGAUUUGUGUUUGGAGAAGAGCGCUCUGGCUACUAGGUGGAAAAUUGAAUAUGUAGGGGCAAGAAUGAAGCAGUGAGACCUGUGAGGACAUGCUGCAGACCAUGUUGGGGACUGUUUUCCAAAGGGAAGAGCUAACACACAAAGAAGUGCCCAAGGCAAUCAACCCACUGGGUGCAGGAAGAAAAUAUUGAACUUCCGUUUCUCUUAUUUUUUAUCUGACAAUGCACUCAUUCAUUGGGUACCAGUGUUUUGUGACUACUGCAUUUUUCAUUAAUCUGAUUAAAUGGAUUGAAGGAUUAUCCAAUUGAGUUUUAACUAAAACGAGUCUCAAAAAAUGAACAAGUGUGGCCGGGUGCGGUGGCUCACGCCUGUAAUUCCAGCACUUUGGGAGGCUGAGGCAGGCGGAUCACCUGAGGUUGGGAGUUCGAGACCAGCCUGACCAACAUGGAGAAACUCCAUCUCUACUAAAAAUACAAAAUUAGCUGGGCGUGGUGGCGCAUGCCUGUAAUCCCAGCUACUCAGGAGACUGAGGCAGGAGAAUUGCUUGAACUUGCGAGGCGGAGGUUGUGGUGAGCCAAGAUCGCACCAUUACACUCCAGCCUGGGCAACAAGAGCGAAACUCCAUCUCAAAAAAAAAAAAAAAAGAAGAAGAAGAAAAAAAAAAAGAAAAAGAAAAAGUGGCUUUACAAGAUUCCUGCUAAGAAGUCGUAUGUUGGAAGUUGUAUUAUUAAUAUUAACAAUACAAUCACAAGCAAAUCACAUGAAAAUGGUGGAUCUGACAUUCUUGUUUUCCUAGUAUGAGAUCUUUUUUAGCCACACUUUGAGAUUAAAAAAGACAAUUUGAUCAAAUCUUACACUUGUGUCCAAGUGAAAUGUGGAAUAAAUAAAAAGCCUACUUGAAAUGCGUGUUUUUAUUAUAGUUAAUCACAAACCUUACCUAAGUGUAUAUUGUGCCUUGAGAUGUUAGGUAAAAUGAUCAUAUGAAGCUAUCACAAUUAGUAAGACAUUUAAAAACUGCCUAUUUUCUCUUUAUGUCAUCCUUUAUAAAUUUCUAUUUUAUGUUUUAUAAUACAUAUUAGUAGGUAUCUGCAUAUAAUUUGCCAGUUAGUAAAUAUACAUAUAUUAGGGGUGCAGGGUCAGCUUCUAUUUCUAUAUAUUUCAAAUUACAUAAAGUAUAAUUCUGUCUUCAUCAGGGAAAAUACCAAAUAAAUGUGGAAACCGCUGGUCUGCUUAUGAUGGUGGCCUUGGUACAAGUGAUGGAUAUGGUGAACCGUUGUUGAAUUCUGGAUAUAUAAUAUUUUGAAUGUGGAGGUGACAUAACUUGCAAACAGAUUGUGGAACAGAAUAAUGACUUCUAGGCUUAGGGCUGAAAAUGGAAUGAAGGGUGGAGAAGACUCAGUGAGGAAGUGAUGGGAAGGAGGGUGCAGAAUAUCAAAGGUUCUAGUUAACCCAUGUUAGCUUGAAGAUACCUAAUGGACCUCCAAGCGGAGAUGCCAGGUGUGUAUGCAGUUAGAUAUAUGAACUGGGCCAGGCACAGUGGCUCAUGUCUGUAAUCCCAACACUUUGGGAGGCUGAGGCCAGUGGAUCACUUGAGGCCAGGAGUUUGAGACCAGCCUGGCCAACAUGGUGAAACCCUGUCUUUACUAAAAAUAUAAAAAUUAGCCAGGCAUGGUGGCUCAUGCCUGUAAUCCCAGCUGCUUGGGUGGCUGAGGCAUGAGAAUCGCUUGAACCUGGGCAGCGGAGGUUGCAGUGAGCCAAGACUGCACCACUGCACACCAGCCUGGGUGACAGAGCAAGAGUCCAUCUAAAAAAAAAAAAAAAAGAUAAUGAACCUGGAGCUCUGGGGAGAAAUUGAGGCACAGAGGUAAUUUGAAAGGGAUGAGUACUUAGCUGUCAUUGAAAGUCCCAAGCCUGGAUGAGAGGUUGGAAAGAGGAGUGGCCACUUGGAUAGGAGGAUGCUAUGGUCUGAAUGUUUGUAGUCCCCUAGAAUUCAUAUGUUGAAACCUAAUCACCAAGGUAAUGGUAUUAGGAGGUGGGAGGUGAUAGGGUCUGAAGGGCAGAGCCCUCAUGAAUGGGACUAGUACCCUUACAAUAGGCCCUAGGUGUGGUGGCUCACACCUGUAAUCCUAGCACUUUGGGAGGCCAAGGUGGGAGGAUUGCUUGAGCCUAGGACUUGGAGGCCAGCCUAGACAACAGAGCAAGACCCUAUUUAUGCAAAAAUUAAAAAAAAAAAAAAACUAGCUGGAAGUGGUGGCACAUGCCUGUGGUCCCAGCUACUUUGGAGGCUGAGGUAAAUGGAUCACUUGAGCACGGGAAGUCACGGCAGUGAGUCAUGAUUGCACCACCUCAUUCCAGCCUGGGCAACAGAGCAAGACCCUGCCUCAAAAAAAAAAAAAAUAGACCUAAGGGAGCUCGUUUGCUCCACCCACUAUGUAAGGACACAGCUAGAAACCUCUGUCUAUAAACUGGAAAGUGGGCCCUCUCCAGACAACAAGUCUGCUGGUGCCUUGAUCCUGGACUUCCAGUUUCUGGAUUGUGAGAAAAAAAAAAUGUUGUUGUUGAUAAGCCACUCAGUUUAUGGUAUCUUGUUAAAGCAACCCAAAAGGACUAAAACAGUAAAAUCAGGAGAAUUUGGUGAAUGUAAAUCCAGUGAAAAAUGGGUUUCAAGAAUGAGGGAGUGGAAUACUAUGCAGCCAUAAAAAGCAUGAAAUCACGUCCUUUAUAGCAACAUGGAUGCAGCUGGAGGCCAUUAUCUUAAGUCGAUUAAUGCAGGAACAGAAACUCAAAUACCGCAGGCUCUCGCUUAUAAGUGAAGCUAAACACUGGAUACUUAUGGACAUAAAGAUGACAAUACCAGACAGUGGGAACUACUAAAGCAGGGAAGGAAUGAGGGGAGCAAGGGUUGAAAAACUGUUGGGUACUGUGCUCACUAUCUGGGUGAUGGGAUCAAUUGUACCCCAAACGUCAGCAUCACACAAUAUAGCCAGGUAACAAACCUGCACAUGUACCCUGUGAAUCUAAAAUAAAAGUUGAAACUAUAAAUAAGUAAUAGAUAGAAAAAAUUAAAAAUGAAGCUGGGAAAAAAAGAAUGAGAGAGUUGUUUACAUUUUUAAAAGUUAUCUUUUAGAGAUGCCGAAAUAUUUUACCAACAAAAUGAUAUAAUGUGUAGGAUUUGCUUCCAAAUAAUAGGGAGGGGAAGAUGCAGAGGUGAGUCUGGGCAGGACUUCCCUGGCCGUGGGUUGGAGGUGGUUAGGCUGAGUGGUGUGUAUGUGAGUCUCAUUGUUUCAUGCCCUCUCCUUCCUUUUUUUUUUUUUUUUUUUUUUUUUUUUGAGACAGAGUCUCCCUCAGGCACCAGGCUGGAGUGCAGUGGUGCGAUCUCGGCUCACCGCAACCUCUGCCUCCUGGAUUCAAGUGAUUCUCCUGCCUCAGCCUCCCGAGUAGCUGGGAUUACAGGUGCGCGCCACCAUGCCUGGCGAAUUUUUUUGUAUUUUUAGUAGAGAAGAGGUUUUACCAUGUUAGCAAGGAUCGUCUUGAUCUCCUGACUUCAUGAUCCGCCCGUCUCUGCCUCCCAAGGUGCUGGGAUUACAGGCGUGAGCCACCGUGCCUGCCUUUUUUUUUUUUUUUUUUUGAGACAGAGUUUUGCUCUUGUCACCCAGGCUGAAGUGCCGUGGCGAGAUCUCGGCUCACUGCAACCUCCACCUCCUGGGUUGGAGCAAUUUUCCUGCCUUAGACUCCUGAGUAGGUAGCUGAGAUUACAGGCGCUGCCACCAGGCCCAGCUAACUUUUGUAUUUUUAGUGGAGACAGGGUUUCGCCAUGUUGGCUAGGCUGGUCUCGAACUCCUGACCUCAGGUGAUCCACCGGCCUCAGCUUCCCAAAGUGCUGGGAUUACAGGUGUGAGCCACCACGCCCAACCUCAUGCUCUCUCCUUCUGUACAUGUUAAAAUUCUCCGUGAUUAAAGGAGGCAGCAGCGGAGGAACACAGGGCAUGAUUCCCUCUGCCACAGGCUGCUGUGAGGUGGGAUAAAAUGAAGGCUGAGAAUGGACUGUUGGGUUGGGCAAGGUGACGGGCACUAGAUUGCUUUGACAAGAGGAGUUCUGCUGGAAUGGCGGGCAUCCAGGGAUCAGGGCACUGGCAGAGGGGGUAUGAGGAGAGGAAGGCAAUGAGGACAGGCCACUCUCUUGAGCAGAGCUUUUUUUUUUUUUUUAAUAUAAAAAGGAGAGCUGAGAAAUGAGGUGGUAGCUAGGGGACAUGAGGAGUUUAGGAAAGGGUGUUUGAUGUUUUGUUAACAUCAGAAUAUUGCAGGAGAUGUUGCAGUGUGUUUGUACUUGGUUGGAAAUGACAGAGAUUAAAUGAAAAGCUGCUGAUAGAAAAACAGCGUUGGGGAGAAAGAGGACUGUGGCAGUGCAGUAGCUGGGUCCGGGGUCGGCUCUGUGACAAUUUUAGGGUUCUGUUACAAAAGAGAGAAGGGGAGAAUGGAUAUUGAGGAAUAACUAGCAGCCUUAGACACACUAGGAUUUGGGCAGGAACAGGGGUGAAAAGAGGAGGGUGAGUGGCUUGAGGAUGGGACCCAGGGACAGGCAGUAUUGAUGAGAAAUUAUUAGGAAUUCUUUCAGCUGUGAAGGCAGGAAAUUGGACCAGAGUGGCUGAAGUAGAUUGAAGAUAGGUGGCUGCUGGUGUAGGGUCAUUGGUUCAGUUGUGUCAGGGCCAAUGACUGUGCUGUUCUCCCGUUUACACAGGCUCAUUAACCCAGGGAAGCUGCAUACACCCUGGAAGGCAAUGCUUUCAUAGAAACCAGCCCUCCUUUCAGAUUUUGACUUCCAUCCCAUUUGACUGAAAUGGGUCACAUGGCUACUCCUAGCUGCAAGGGAGGCUGGGACAUUGGGGGAGAUUGUCAUGCUGGGAGUUGAGGUGUUGGAUGGAUCGUUUGCACAGAUCCCAGGGUGCUAGGAAGGUAUGAAGAAUGAUGAUGGGGCAGUGGCAGAGAGACACAGUUAGCCGUGACCAGAAUACUUAGUGAAUGAGGAAGAGACCUGAAGAGGACUGUGACAAAGAGGCAGGGUGUGGCCUAAUGUCAAUUGUUUCAAAAAGGCUGGGGGUUUAUGGAGGACCGGAAGGGAGGACAGCUACCCCUAUCUCAGGCCAACUGGAAUGAGGAUCAUGAGAGGGAAAAUAGCCCUCAUUUGAGGAGGCCAUAGGGGAAGGGUUGCCUGCAGGCAUCAGCCAGUUUUCCUGCAAGGCAAGAAGGUGAAGGGAAUAUUCAGAGUGAAGGCGGAGGGCACAGUGGGUUUGUGUAGGGGUGCACUGCAAAUUCCAGAAGACACACUAGGAAGGCUGAGGAAGGGUGGGAGAUGGGGUCAGCUUAUGGCUAUGCAGAGCUGUAAGGGGUUAAAAAUCUACAUGAGGAGGAUGACCUGAGCUUGAGGGUGUCCCAUCUGAUAGUUUUAACUUUCUCUGAGGAAGGAGGCAAGACUGAGUGAGCGGGGAGUUGGAGGAGUAGGAGUUGGGGGAAAGAGGAGAAGGUUAAAGCAGCUUCUCCGGAGAGUGGAAGGCGAGUUGGCCAGGCAGCCAUGAGAAAGGCCCUGGCUGUGUUGAGGGGCCUGGCUGUAGCUUCUCUCUCGCUCUUCCUGAAUUCCCCAGGCGGAAUUACCACACCCUUUUCUGCAUUCCUAUGGCAUUUUUCUAAUGGAAAAGUUUAAGAACAGCCUAAUAGCAUGGAAUUUCUACCCCUGAAAAGCAUAUUUGUAAAAAAGCAAAAAUCGAACCUGGGUUAUGGCUCUCAUACCUUCGGUUUACAUCAGUGAUUGGAUUGAAAUUGUUUUCAGUUGGCUAAACUGCUCCAGAAAAAAAAAAACAAAAAACAAGUGUGGCGAGGUGGCGAGUGUUGUGUCCCAGCCAACUAGUAAACUCAAGAUAUUUUAAUUAAGAUGAGAAAAAGAAAGAAUAGCGAGAAUGGGCCGGGCACGGUGGCUCAUGCCUGUAAUCCCAGCACUUUGGGAGGCCGAGGCGGGCGGAUCACGAGGUCAGGAGAUUGAGACUAUCCUGGCUAACACGGUGAAACCCCGUCUCUACUAAAAAUACAAAAAAUUAGCCGGGCGUGGUGGCGGGCGCCUGUAGUCCCAUUGGGAGGCUGAGGCAGGAGAAUGGCAUGAACCCAGGAGGCGGAGCUUGCAGUGAGCCGAG